UCCAGUAGUAGUCAGAUGUCCAGAAAGUCAUUUCUGUGAUAGUGUUACACUGGUGGAAGAGCAAUGUCUUAUUUACACAGUUACCUGCAUCACUGUUGUGGUGGCAGCUAGCACUGGUGCAUGCUUCCUUGAGACUGAGCUGUACAUU
rnacentral:snoRNA from 1 species